rnacentral:rRNA from 1 species
AGGAUGAACGCUGGCGGUGUGCCUAAUACAUGCAAGUCGUACGGAAAGGCCCUUCGGGGUACUCGAGUGGCGGACGGCUGAGUAACGCGUGGGAACGUACCCUAAAGUGAGGAAUAACUGCCCGAAAGGGUGGCUAAUGCCGCAUAUGCUCUUCGGAGUAAAGCUUCGGCGCUUUGGGAGCGGCCCGCGUCCGAUUAGCUUGUUGGUAAGGUAAUGGCUUACCAAGGCGACGAUCGGUAGCUGGUCUGAGAGGAUGAUCAGCCAGACUGGGACUGAGAACGGCCCAGACUCCUACGGGAGGCAGCAGUAGGGAAUUUCCACAAUGGGCGAAAGCCUGAUGGAGCAACACCGCGUGCAGGACGAAGGCCCUCGGGUCGUAAACUGCUUUUAUUGUGACGAUUAUGACGGUAGCAGAUGAAUAAGGAUCGGCUAACUCCGCGCCAGCAGCCGC